rnacentral:lncRNA from 1 species
GCCUGAAGCAAGCCAAUAAUUUUAAUAUUUCUCUUUGCCACGGUGUAGCCCUCUUUGCUCUGUAUCAUGAUCUUAAUAUCAUUUAUGAACACCAGCUAUUGUUUAGGUUGCUGCCUUCUUGAACGAGCUCAGCCUAAGGGGUAUAUUUGGGGUCACCAAUGUGCACAUAAACUUGCCACUUCGUGUUGCCACGGGGGUUGCUUGAGAUGAACAAAGAUUAGUAGCAAAGUCUUGUCCCUUUUUUUUUUUUU